rnacentral:tRNA from 1 species
GAAAAGGUAAGCUAAAAAAGCUAUUGGGUUCAUACCCCAAUUAUAGAAAUAUCUUCUCCUUUUUA